AUGGCUGUCAAGUACCGCCUCGUGAAGGAGUGGAGAAGACAACGUGCUCUGGUUCUCCUCCAGCCAAACACCUUUGCUUGUGCUCCUAAUUUCCCAUCACUCUUUUUGUCACAGCAUGGUCAAAACAAUGGUGCCUUCACCCUUGCUCGUGCCUCAACCCACAUGGUGCGGCAACUAGCGACAUGUGCUGGAGCUUCUGGCGGCGACAUCACCUGCAUCGACCUCUCCCUCGUCGCCUUCGAGAGUGUGUGCGGCUCCAUCAAGCUUGUUAUGACGCACUUUGAAUUUCUGAGCAAGUCGCAGCCUUUUCAGAUUCAUCAACACAGUUGGUUCUGCUGGUAUUUUGAGGAGGCAAGCUGUGGUUUUACUCCUGGCCCUGAGAAGGGUGAACUAGGCCAUAGCGAGGGCGCCUUCAGGAACAUCGAGUCAGGGUGCCUCACUUUCUAUUUCAAUCUGCGAGUUACCGAAGCAUUGCAUUUGUUGAGAAAGUGUUCCUUAUACCAUACAAAAACGUCCAUGCUCAAUACAGCUGGUUCCCCCAAGUUCAGCAGUGACCAUAUGAUACACCAGGUGAUACGUAUGAAGGAAAAGAGCCAGAGCGGCGCUUGGAUAAAAGUCAGUGCUGGAAUUUGUUUGGCAUAUGCGGAAAUCUUGGUAAAGGAUAAGGACGCACACGGCGGUGAGGCUGGACUUGACAUAUGCAUCAACGAGCAUGGUGAUGAGGUGAGAGUUGGAAGCGUGGAUGUACUUGACAAGGAUUAUCUGUGCCUCCAGUUGGUAGAGAUUAAAUUAUUCCUUCCGAUUAACAUUCUGGGCUACCAUUGGAUAAUAGCAGUCGCCAAUGCGAAAAACAUGCACUAUCAGACCUGGAACCAGUUCAUCCAGCUAAAAGGAGGUCCCAUGUACCAUCAACCAGACGAUGAAGAAACUUUAGCUAAUGAUGAUCUCGAGAUCCUCGAGAAUCCAUCUGACGUAGUCAAAGACAAACGUCUUGCCCUAAUCACUAUCAUACUCACGGACCAACGUGAAUUACUUGCCGGCCUCUACAACUACAUCAUGUCGAUCGAUGAUGCCGGGUGUUUGGAUCUUAAGAAACUUCAGUGCAUACUUAACAUGGAGCAGCCUAUAGACAAUGAUUGCUUCAACACCGCCGUGUGUAUACUGGCAUGUGACGAGGGAGUAUUGUUCAAAGACCCUCCUAUACACUACAUGGAUCUAAGAUUUUGUUCCAUGAUGCUAGAGUCAACACGAGGUCGGAAGUUUUGCGAGAAGGAAAUUAUCCAGACGUUGACACCAUUAUUUGAUAGCUGGCCUGGGAUAGACAACGACAUCUCAUCAUGCAACAUAAUAAGUAAAGAAUGUGUCUGGCUAUUUCGUUUUUCAUUUUAUGCUCCGGUGGAACGGAUGGGUAUGAGUUGA
rnacentral:rRNA from 1 species